rnacentral:sRNA from 12 species
CCAGAGAGAUUUUCUUGCAUGAGCAACAAGAAAGUCAGAUGGACUACACGUCAAUUAAUUAGUGCAUUAUUGAGAUUUAUUUUAAGCCAUAAAAUUCAACAACGACAAUUAGUAACUUUCUGGAAAGUGAAAAUAUGAAGUUGUGGUGCUUCCUUGAAAUUAUAUUAAUAAUUUCUUGAUUAGGAGUGAAAUGGUUAGUUGGCUAUCUUAA